AUUGGACGCUGGCGGCAGGCUUAACACAUGCAAGUCGAGCGGGGAAGUAUAGCUUGCUAUACGACCUAGCGGCGGACGGGUGAGUAAUGCUUAGGAAUCUGCCUAUUAGUGGGGGACAACAUUUCGAAAGGAAUGCUAAUACCGCAUACGUCCUACGGGAGAAAGCAGGGGAUCUUCGGACCUUGCGCUAAUAGAUGAGCCUAAGUCGGAUUAGCUAGUUGGUGGGGUAAAGGCCUACCAAGGCGACGAUCUGUAGCGGGUCUGAGAGGAUGCUCCGCCACACUGGGACUGAGACACGGCCCAGACUCCUACGGGAGGCAGCAGUGGGGAAUAUUGGACAAUGGCGGAAGCCUGAUCCAGCCAUGCCGCGUGUGUGAAGAAGGCCUUAUGGUUGUAAAGCACUUUAAGCGAGGAGGAGGCUACUUUAGUUAAUACCCAGAGAUAGUGGACGUUACUCGCAGAAUAAGCACCGGCUAACUCUGUGCCAGCCGCCGCCGUAAUAC
rnacentral:rRNA from 1 species